GUGCUGACUUCAGCAGCACAUCAAUUAAAACUGAAAAGAUAUCCAGAAGACUAACAUGCCCUCCAUACAAGGAUGACAGAUGACAUGAAAAUUCAUAAAACUUC
rnacentral:snRNA from 1 species